rnacentral:sRNA from 1 species
CAUCGCGAAGGUGGCCGAAGCCCGCGCGCGUAAGAGCAAACGCGCAAAAGAC